CCCUGCAUUCGAAAGUGACUCAGGGCUGCUGUGUCCUGGUCAUUGGUGGUACAGGGAGAGGAAUUGCUGAAAGCAUUUCCCCGUGUUUGGAGGGUCUGCUCCUAUCCCUUCCAGAUCCUGGAGCUUUCCUACA
rnacentral:snoRNA from 1 species